rnacentral:rRNA from 1 species
UACGUAGGCAGCAACGUUGUUCGGAGUUACUGGGCGUAAAGGGGUGUGUAGGCGGGUUCGUUUAAGUUUGACUUGUGGAAAUACUCCCCGGCUUAACCGGGAGGGGUGCGGUUGAAUACUGAGGGACUAGAGUACGGGAGAGGGAAAGUGGAAGUCCAACUGUGGUAGCGGGUAGAAAUGCGUAGAGAUGAUGGAGGAACACCAGUGGCGAAGGCGACUUUCUGGCCUAUAACUGACGCUGAGGCGACGGAAAGCGUGGGGAGCAAACAGG